GAUGAACGCUAGCUACAGGCUUAACACAUGCAAGUCGAGGGGCAGCGCAGUGUAGCAAUACACGGGCGGCGACCGGCGCACGGGUGCGUAACGCGUAUCCAACCUUCCCGUUACUCAGGGAUAGCCUUCCGAAAGGGAGAUUAAUACCUGAUGGUGUUCAAAUUCCGCAUGUUAUUUGAACUAAAGAUUUAUCGGUAACGGAUGGGGAUGCGUGACAUUAGGUAGAUGGCGGGGUAACGGCCCACCAUGCCUACGAUGUCUAGGGGUUCUGAGAGGAAGGUCCCCCACACUGGAACUGAGACACGGUCCAGACUCCUACGGGAGGCAGCAGUGAGGAAUAUUGGUCAAUGGUCGGAAGACUGAACCAGCCAAGUAGCGUGAAGGAUGAAGGUUCUAUGGAUUGUAAACUUCUUUUAUACGGGAAUAAAACCACCUACGUGUAGGUGCUUGUAUGUACCGUAUGAAUAAGCAUCGGCUAACUCCGUG
rnacentral:rRNA from 1 species